rnacentral:tRNA from 1 species
AGCCCUGAGGUGUUUUACACGCAGGAUUGCAAAUCCUGAGUUGCAGGUAACACUGCCGGGGCUU